UUCGCUGACGAGUGGCGGACGGGUGAGUAAUGCUUGGGAACUUGCCUUUGCGAGGGGGAUAACAGUUGGAAACGACUGCUAAUACCGCAUAAUGUCUACGGACCAAACGGGGCUUAGGCUCCGGCGCAAAGAGAGGCCCAAGUGAGAUUAGCUAGUUGGUAAGGUAAAGGCUUACCAAGGCAACGAUCUCUAGCUGUUCUGAGAGGAAGAUCAGCCACACUGGAACUGAGACACGGUCCAGACUCCUACGGGAGGCAGCAGUGGGGAAUAUUGCACAAUGGGGGAAACCCUGAUGCAGCCAUGCCGCGUGUGUAAAGAAGGCCUUCGGGUUGUAAAGCACUUUCAGUUGUGAGGAAAAGUUAGUAGUUAAUACCUGCUAGCCGUGACGUUAACAACAGAAGAAGCACCGGCUAACUCCGUGCCAGCAGCCGCGGUAAUACGGAGGGUGCGAGCGUUAAUCGGAAUUACUGGGCGUAAAGCGCACGCAGGCGGUUUGUUAAGCUAGAUGUGAAAGCCCCGGGCUCAACCUGGGAUGGUCAUUUAGAACUGGCAGACUAGAGUCUUGGAGAGGGGAGUGGAAUUCCAGGUGUAGCGGUGAAAUGCGUAGAUAUCUGGAGGAACAUCAGUGGCGAAGGCGACUCCCUGGCCAAAGACUGACGCUCAUGUGCGAAAGUGUGGGUAGCGAACAGGAUUAGAUACCCUGGUAGUCCACACCGUAAACGCUGUCUACUAGCUGUUUGUGGCUUUAAGCCGUGAGUAGCGAAGCUAACCGCGCUAAGUAG
rnacentral:rRNA from 1 species